rnacentral:rRNA from 1 species
GAUGAACGCUGACAGCAUGCUUAACACAUGCAAGUCUUUGGUGAAGCUGUGCUUGCACAGCCUAGCCAAGGCGGACGGGUGAGUAACGCGUAAGGAACUUGCCCUGCAGUCAGGGAUAACAGACGGAAACGACUGAUAAGACCUGGUAAAGUCAGGCGGACUCAUGUCCAGCCUGAUGAAAAGAGAUGCUGCAGGAGAGCCUUGCGUCCUAUUAGCUUGUUGGUGGGGUAACGGCCCACCAAGGCAAUGAUAGGUAGCCGGCCUGAGAGGGUGGACGGCCACAAGGGGACUGAGAUACGGCCCUUACUCCUACGGGAGGCAGCAGUGGGGAAUAUUGGACAAGGGGGGCAACCCUGAUCCAGCAAUUCUGUGUGCACGAUGAAGGUUUUCGGAUUGUAAAGUGCUUGCAGCAGGGAAGAAAAAAAUGACGGUACCUGCAGAAGAAGCGACGGCUAAAUACGUG